rnacentral:rRNA from 1 species
GGGGGCUAGCGUUGCUCGGAAUCACUGGGCGUAAAGCGCACGUAGGCGGCUUGUUAAGUCAGGGGUGAAAUCCUGGAGCUCAACUCCAGAACUGCCUUUGAUACUGGCGAUCUCGAGUCCGGGAGAGGUGAGUGGAACUGCGAGUGUAGAGGUGAAAUUCGUAGAUAUUCGCAAGAACACCAGUGGCGAAGGCGGCUCACUGGCCCGGUACUGACGCUGAGGUGCGAAAGCGUGGGGAGCAAACAGG